GCUUGGGAAACGGAGUGAUCAGUAGUCUAAUGACUCGAAAUCUAGACCUAAACGGUGCCGACUCCUGCAUUACGCACAAUAAUUUGAUCCCUAGCACCAAACAAGAGCCCUUGACAGAUUAUAACAUUAAAUUCUGGACAGAGAAUUUUUGUGUGUGUCUGAUGCCUAGACCAUUUUUAUUGAAGCUGGGGAUUUAUAAUCACCAAGUAUCUUGUCAGUGCUCAAGAACUAAAGAGACUCAUCACAACACUGAAGCCAGGAGAUCAACCCAUCACCUGGUGAGAGUUGGUUGGAAUUGAGAUACGAGCUCCCGGAUUUUUAGAGAGUUUGUUUGUGUGCAUUGGCCUUCAGCAGCUGGAGUCAUCUUCUUCUUAUCUUCGGACCUACCUGGAGCACCGAGUUAACCCAUUCCUUUCUCCCUUCCUCCCUCUACAGCCUCUCGUAACCUGCAAAGGACCCUUUCACUCCACACUCACACCUUCAACCCUUCCCACAAUACACUCCACUACAUAUACAAGUGCUAGCCACAUACAAUGCUGAACUGCUUACCCAGGGGUCCCUCUGAGGCAGGGGAGCAGUGAUAUUGUGAUGCUACAAGGAUAAGGCUCAAUACGGAACAGAUCUCUGUAUUCAA